CUUUUACAAAGAAACAAGCAGAUCUUUUGUUCCCCCAGAUUUUGCCGAAGACUUUCCAGUUGCAAUGCAGAUAUCCCACAAAUCCAGUUUGAUCUACGUGAUCACCAAGCUUCGGCUAUUAUUUGUUUAUGACUUGGAGACCGCUACUGCAAUUUAUAGAAAUAGAAGCUGUCCAGAUCCAAUAUUUUUGGCAGCAGCUUCACCAGUGGGAGGUUUUUUAUGCAAUCAAUAGGCAUGGACAGGUGUUAUUGGCUACUGUAAAUGAUCAUACAAUUGUACCAUUUGUCGUGGCCAGCUUGCUGUCAAUCUUGCCAAAAGAGGGAAUCUACCUGGAGCCGAGCAGGUUGUCCAACGUUUCCAAGAACUAUUUUCCCAAACAAAGUACAAAGAAGCUGCAGAACUUGCCGCCGAGUCCCCCCAAGGACUCCUCCGAACACCGGACACAGUUGCCAAAUUCCAGGUUUUACAUGUUGAUUCUCCAAUCAAACACAUCUUACCUUUCAAAAUUUUUUUCCAAUCAAACACAUUUCGUUGGCUACUAAUAUUUCAUUGCUUCAACGUUCUUCAUCCAUGUCAAGUUGUCUCCAUUUGAUUUCUGGCCAUUCAGGAUCUCUGUAAGCACUGGUUGUAUUGUCCUUCUCUCUCCUUACUAUCUCUGUUGUCCAGUUUGACAUUCAUUGUGUAUCUGGAUCUUUCUUUUGCUGGAACUGAAUGUUGCUACAUAAGAUUGUUCCUGUUAAAAUAACGUAGGAUUGGUCCUGUUUCUUGAGGGCGCUUAGUCAUGCAAUUUUUGGUAGUUACUGAAUAAGACAUACUGUAGGAGCAAACAUCUAUUUUGCAUGUUACUUGUUUGCAAAUAUGUGAACGAGCAGGUAAAAACAAAUUCCCCUAAUCAGCCGUAGUUACAUGAAAGAUACUAUUUGAAUUGAGCUCGGGUGAAAUCUUGGUAUCUGCCAAGAGUUUUUUGUUCAUGUUUCCUUCCUGAAUGGAACAUUUCUUGUAAGAGCCUUGGCAUAUAAAGUUGGUAUCUUGCUCUGUUUUUGAGUGUUCCUGUCCAGGCUGGGCAGACGCCACCUCUGUUGCAGUAUUUCGGGACACUUAUGACAAAAGGAAAGCUCAAUUCUUUUGAGUCGUUGGAAUUAUCACCCCUUGUUGUGAACCAAAACAAAAACAAUCUUUUGGAGAAUUGGUUGGCAGAGGAUAAGCUGGAAUGCAGGGAGG